rnacentral:lncRNA from 1 species
GAGGGGAAGCGCCCAAGGUCACACAGCUGGGAUGUGGCAGAGCUGGGGUUCCAGCUCCUGUUCCCAUUGCUGGACAGCUGCCACAUCUGGCACCCAAUUUAGGACCCCGCGGGGAGGCCCAAGCCCCGGGGGUGGCGGGGGAUCCUAGAGGAAAGUGGCAAGGCCAGGACCCUGGAGCAGAGCCAGAAAACUGAGGCUCUGAGAGAUGAAGCUACUUGCCAAGGUCACGCAGCACAGUCACAUCCUACUGAACAUCAUCCUGUUCUCUGGGUGGAAUGUCACCAUCGCCCAGGUGGGGAUUUUUGUGUGUUUUGUUCACUGCUGUACACCCAGCCCCCAGCACAGCGCCUGUCCAGGACAAGUGCCCAGUAAACACUUGGGAAGCAAUGCAAGCGUCCUCCCAGCAGCUCCUGCAAACAGACCCCCGACCCAAGCCCUUCCUUCUGCCUCCACUGCCACCACUGCUGCUCAUCUCUGCUGGCACAGAAGUCUCUUCCCUGGUCUUCCAGAAAUCCCCUCUCCACACUCAGCCAGAGGGAGCUAUUAAAACUGUGGGCCAGCCCACAUCAGUCCACAGCAAAGUCCUCUCUAAGGGAUCUCUGUUGCUUGGAGAAUAAACCCUCGGAUUCCUUCCUUGGCUCUCGGGGCCUCCUCUCUGACCUCCCUCUGUCUCCUCUCCCAGCCUUCCUCCUCACUCACCCUCCAGCCAUGCUGGCUUCCUCCUUGCUCCUGAAACAGCCUGAGGCCCACACUGCCCCGGGCCCUUUGCACUGGCUGUUUCCUCUGCCUGGAACACUUCUCCUAGGCAUCCACAGGGCUCCCUCCCACAACUCCUUCGGGUGCCCACAUGGGAAGCCAUCCCUGACCACCCCCCCGACUUCCUUCUGAGCAAGGUAGGGUCUUUCUACCUAGUCAUGAGGGCAGGGAUUUUUGUCUGUUGUGUUCUCUGUGUGCCCCCAGUGCCAUCCCAGUGCCUGGCAGAUGGUAAGUGCUCGACACACAUUGGCUGACUGCCUGAAUGAACAACUCUAUGAGCCGAUGGCAGAUAAGGACACUGAGGUCCUCUGGGGUAGGUGACCAGCCCAAGGCCACACAGCUGGUCUGAGAUUAGGCCAGGAGAGGAGCCCGGGUUGGUCACAUCCUGGAGUUGGCGUCUUGGAAACUGCAUCAGGAGAAUAACAAAGAUGAGACGCAGGCUCUAACAAGUGGAUACCAGUGACUCUCGCCCCGCCAGCCCCAGCCCUGCAGCCUUGGGCCCUUCCAGGAGUCAUGGUCUGCCUGCCUGGGGCAUUCCAGGCUUCGACCCAGGUCCUGCACUUUCUAUUUUGAGCCUCUUAGUCCUGAGGACUGUGUGUUCCCAGCAGGCGGCGCGGGCCAGAGGCUGAGCCUGGGUGUGGCUGUCACCCUAUCUGGGGCCAGAGACCCAGAUUCCCGGGCCCUUAACCUGUUGGCUGCUGAGGGCUCUGGCAUAAGCCCUGUUCCCUGCUUGAUUGUCUCCCCUUCAAGCCCCUGCCCUGGUAUCGUAUCGGCCCAUCUCACCUUGGAUUAUAUCCCUGUUUGGCCCCAUUUGAAUCCUGGCUCUGCCCCUUUCCAGCAAUGUGACCUUGGGCAAGUCACUUCAUCUCUCUGGGUCUCAGUUUCUUCAUCUGGGAAAUGGGGACAAUAAGAGUACCUGUCUCUGGCCAUGUGUGGUGACUCAUGCCUGUAACCCCAGCGCUUUGGGAAGCCGAGGCGAGAGAAUUGCUUGAGACCAGGAGUUUGAGAUCAGCCCUGGGCAACAUAGUGAGACCCCUGUCUCUACAAAAUUCUAAAAAAAUUAGCCGGGUGUGGUGGUGUGUGCCUGUAGUCCCAGCUAUUCUAGAGGCUGAGGCGGGAGGAUUGCUUGAGCCCAGGAGUUUGAGGCUGCAGUGAGCUAUGAUUAUGCCCCUGCACAUCAGCCUGGGUGAUAGAUUGAGGCCCCAUCUCUAAAAAUAACAAUACUAAUAAUAAAUAAAAAUGAAAAUGAG